CAGCACCUCAAGUGGUCAGGAUGAUUAUUGGGCCUAAAGCAUCCGUAGCCGGCUCUGUAAGUUUUCGGUUAAAUCUGUAUGCUCAACAUACAGGCUGCCGGGAAUACUGCAGAGCUAGGGAGUGGGAGAGGUAGACGGUACUCGGUAGGAAGGGGUAAAAUCCUUUGAUCUAUUGAUGACCACCUGUGGCGAAGGCGGUCUACCAGAACACGUCCGACGGUGAGGGAUGAAAGCUGGGGGAGCAAAACGGAUUAGAGACCCGAGUAGUCC
rnacentral:rRNA from 1 species